rnacentral:rRNA from 1 species
GACGAACGCUGGCGGCGUGCUUAACACAUGCAAGUCGAACGGAAAGGCCCUGCUUUUGUGGGGUGCUCGAGUGGCGAUCGGGUGAGUAACACGUGAGUAACCUGCCCUUGACUUUGGGAUAACUUCAGGAAACUGUGGCUAAUACCGGAUAGGAGCUCCUGCUGCAUGGUGGGGGUUGGAAAGUUUCGGCGGUUGGGGAUGGACUCGCGGCUUAUCAGCUUGUUGGUGGGGUAGUGGCUUACCAAGGCUUUGACGGGUAGCCGGCCUGAGGGGGUGACCGGCAACAUUGGGACUGAGAUACGGCCAAGACUCCUACGGGAGGCAGAAGUGGGGAAUAUUGCAAAAUGGGCGGAAGCCUGAUGCAGCAACGCCGCGUGCGGGAUGACGGCCUUCGGGUUGUAAACCGCUUUCGCCUGUGACGAAGCGUGAGUGACGGUAAUGGGUAAAGAAGCACCGGCUAACUACGUG